UACAGAGGGUGCGAGCGUUAAUCGGAAUUACUGGGCGUAAAGCGUGCGUAGACGGUUAUUUAAGUCGGGUGUGAAAGCCCCGGGCUCAACCUGGGAAUUGCAUUCGAGACUGAAUAGCUAGGGUACGGUAGAGGGAAGCGGAAUUCCCGGUGUAGUGGUGAAAUGCGUAGAUAUCGGGAGGAACACCAGUGGCGAAGGCGGCUUUCUGGUCUGCUCUUGACGCUGAGGCGCGAAAGCUAGGGUAGCAAACGGG
rnacentral:rRNA from 1 species